rnacentral:Y_RNA from 1 species
GGCUGGUCUGAUGGCAGUGGGUUAUCAGAACUUGCUAACAUUAGUGUCACUGCAGUUGGUAUACAAACCCCCACUGCUAAAUUUGACUGGCUUUAA